CCCCCCCACCUCUCCACCCGAUGGGUACCCAGCCGCGUUUCUUUGGCGGCUCGCACGCCGCCCGAGAACCCCCCGUCAAACCCCCGCGAUCCCUGUCGUCGGAGCCGUAUCGAAUACGCACAAAACUUUCAACAACGGAUCUCUUGGUUCUGGCAUCGAUGAAGAACGCAGCGAAAUGCGAUAAGUAAUGUGAAUUGCAGAAUUCAGUGAAUCAUCGAAUCUUUGAACGCACAUUGCGCCCCUUGGUAUUCCGAGGGGCAUGCCUGUCCGAGCGUCAUUACACCCGUCAAGCUCCGGCUCGGUGUUGGGCCGGCGUCCCUCCGGGACGGGUCCGAAUGGCAGUGGCGGUCCGGCGUGGCUUCGAGCGCAGUAGACACCCUCGUUCGCUCGGGAGGCACGCCCGGGUCCGGCCAGUCAACCCCCGAACGCAUCAUCCGUUUGACCUCGGAUCAGGUAGGGAUACCCGCUGAACUUAAGCAUAUCAAUAAGCGGAGGA
rnacentral:rRNA from 1 species